UUAGAGUUUGAUCCUGGCUCAGGAUGAACGCUAGCGGCAGGCUUAACACAUGCAAGUCGAGGGGCAGCGCGAGUAGCAAUACUUGGCGGCGACCGGCGCAAGGGUGCGUAACACGUGAGUAACAUACCUGUAUCAGGGGAAUAAGCCAUGGAAACGUGGUCUAAAACCGCAUAAUAUGAACUAUAGGCAUCUAUAGAUUAUUAAAAUUACGAUGGAAAUAGAUUGGCUCGCGGAACAUUAGCUAGUUGGUAAGGUAACGGCUUACCAAGGCGACGAUGUUUAGGGGUUCUGAGAGGAAGGUCCCCCACACUGGAACUGAGACACGGUCCAGACUCCUACGGGAGGCAGCAGUGAGGAAUAUUGGACAAUGGAUGGAAAUCUGAUCCAGCCAUGCCGCGUGAAGGAUAAGGUCCUAUGGAUUUUCAACUUCUUUUGUAUGGGAGCAAUAAGGUCUACGCGUAGACUGAUGAGAGUACCAUACGAAUAAGCAUCGGCUAACUCCGUGCCAGCAGCCGCGGUAAUACGGAGGAUGCAAGCGUUAUCCGGAUUUAUUGGGUUUAAAGGGUGCGUAGGCGGAAGGAUAAGUCAGCGGUGAAACGUACGGGCUCAACCCGUGAACUGCCGUUGAAACUGUUCAUCUGGAAUGCGGAUGCUGUGGGAGGAAUGUGUAGUGUAGCGGUGAAAUGCAUAGAUAUUACACAGAACACCGAUUGCGAAGGCAUCUCACAAAACCGCGAUUGACGCUGAGGCACGAAAGUGUGGGGAUCGAACAGGAUUAGAUACCCUGGUAGUCCACACAGUAAACGUAGAUAAUUAGCUGUAGGAGAGAGACAGUCUGUAUCGGAGAGCAAGAGCUAGGUUAUCCGCUUGCGGAGUACGACGGCAAGGUUGUAUCUCAAAGGAAUUGACGGGGUCCCGCACAAGCGGAGGAACAUGUGGUUUAAUUUGAUGAUACGCGAGGAACCUUACCCGGGCUCGCACGGUGCAUGAAUAUACAAGAGAUUGUAUAGCUAGCAAUAGCAUGUAUCGAGGUGCUGCAUGGUUGUCGUCAGCUCGUGCCGUGAGGUGUCGGCUUAAGUGCCAUAACGAGCGCAACCCUUGUCUUCAGUUACCAGCAAGUAAAGAUGGGGACUCUGGCGAGACUGCCACCGUAAGGUGUGAGGAAGGGGGGGAUGACGUCAAAUCAGCGCGGCCCUUAUGUCCGGGGCGACACACGGUUCCAAUGGUGACUACAGAGGGUAGCUACAUAUCAAUAUGAUGCAAAUCUCAAAAAGUCAUCUCAGUUCGGAUUGGAGUCUGCAACUCGACUCCAUGAAGUUGGAUUCGCUAGUAAUCGCGCAUCAGCCAUGGCGCGGUGAAUACGUUCCCGGG
rnacentral:rRNA from 1 species